UUCCUACGGGAGGCAGCAGUGGGGAAUCUUGCGCAAUGGGCGAAAGCCUGACGCAGCAACGCCGCGUGCGGGAUGAAGGCCUUCGGGCUGUAACCCGCUUUCAGCAGGAACGAAAAUGNCGGUACCUGCAGAAGAAGGAGCGGCCAACUACGUGCCAGCAGCCGCGGUGACACGUAGGCUCCAAGCGUUGUCCGGAUUUAUUGGGCGUAAAGAGCUCGUAGGCGGUUUAGUAAGUCGGGUGUUAAAACUCUGGGCUCAACCCGGAGAGGCCAUCCGAUACUGCUGUGACUUGAGUUCAGGAGGGGAGCGGGGAAUUCCUAGUGUAGCGGUGAAAUGCGCAGAUAUUAGGAGGAACACCGGUGGCGAAGGCGCCGCUCUGGACUGAAACUGACGCUGAGGAGCGAAAGCAUGGGUAGCAAACAGGAUUAGAUACCCUGGUAGUCCAUGCCGUAAACGGUGGGCACUAGGUGUGGGUUCCAACUAACGGGAUCCGCGCCGUCGCUAACGCAUUAAGUGCCCCGCCUGGGGAGUACGGUCGCAAGACUAAAACUCAAAGGAAUUGAC
rnacentral:rRNA from 1 species